rnacentral:lncRNA from 1 species
UCGAGUUUGAGAGUAAUUAUCUUUCAGAAUAGAACAUAUUAUGUAAAGCCCAAAGGUAAAAAAAAAGAAAAUGUAUAUUUUACAUUUUUUUAUAUAUUUUUAUAUAUUUUUUUUUAUUUUAUUAAUUUAAAUAAAAAGAAAAGAAAAAGAAAAUCCUUAUUUAUAUAUAUUUUUUUCUUUUCUUUUUCUUUUUUUUUCUCUCUUCUUCUUCCUCCGUGCGUCGCGUAACUUUCCGUCCAGAUCUGCGUCACCGUGCCCGGUCCUCGCCGCCGCUCGUGCUUCACCCUUGCAGUUCGCAGUAGCUCAGAUCCGUCGCUGCAACCGUCGGCCGGUUCGUGAAGCCCUGCCGCGCAACCUCUGUUUCCAGCCGCCGCCCAUUCCGUUCUCCUCUGUUUUCUGUACUGCUGCGCGACUCUCCGACCGCGUCUGUCUUCACCUCCGUGAAGUCGUCGACACAUACAUCUUGUGAAGCCCGGUCGCCGCGUCAGAUCGUCGAUCGAUUUUGAGGCAGCCGCCACGUUCCCUUUGGCCGACCGCUGACCGACCCACACUUAGGAUUUUGCUGCGAGUUCGACAGUCGUGCGUUGAGGUGUUGGGAGUAACGUUAGGCUCCCUUACAUUCACAACCAGUUUGUGAGUUGUUGAGGGUUCAGUUCGCCAAUAUAUCGGUGAGUUGGAACUUACGUUGAGGAAAGUAAGUGAGAUAUGUAUCGUGAAAGUAAUUGAAUUUUGUGUUUGUUGUGCUUAGGAUUGUUUCGAGGACGUUAGUUGAUUAAGGAGCUUCCCCAACUUUGAGGUAAGGGAUUUUCUACUGGACCCAAUUGUGAUUGUGAACUGUGAUUGUGAACUGUAUGUGUGUUGAAUGUAUACUGGGGUUGACUGAAAAUAUAUAUGAAUGUAUGUGAAUUGAAGUAGACUUGACGUCGAAUGUAUGUCGUGAUUGUCCUGGAAUCUAUAUAUAAAUGUGUGUAUGUGGACAGGACGGAAAUUGUAGAUUGUGCUUGUAUGAGAUGCAGAUGUGAACUUGUGAUUGUCGUUUAGAUUGGGUGUACGUUACGCUAAAGUAUGACUGUGAGCUGGUGAACUGAGGGGUGUAUUGACUGUAUAGUUGAUUGACUGACGUAUUAGUAUAUUAUUGACAGACAUAUGACUAAAGUGAGAUAAGUUGACUGUUAGGACGUUGAGAGAAAGAACUUUAUGUUUUGAAGUAACUGAAAGAUGGAUUGAAUGGAAUGAGGGGGUAAAUUGUUAGAUUGUAUUGGGAUGUUUACCUUGUAGGUGUCCCACGGGAUCACCAAUUUAUUGUGCACCUUCGGGAGCAUUUGACUGAUAUGUGUUUCUGCAGAACACUAGACUGAUAUGUACGUCCCUCGGGGCGUUAGACUGAUAUGUACGUCCCUCGGGGCGUUAGACUGAGAUGUGUAUCCUACGGGAUCACAAGACUGCGACUGUACAAGGUGUCCCAAUAGAACUUUAACAAUUUAUUUUCCCCUGACGAGACCAGUAGAGGGUCUCUUACUGGGUAUUGUUAUACUCACCCUUCUUAUGUUUAAUUUUCAGGCAAAGGAAAUAAAGGUGGCAAACCGGCGAGGGGCAGGAAGGAAGCGUGAUUGCCAUAGGAAAUGUGUCAUUUUGCUUCCGCUUAUGGUUUCUUUUGAGGUUUAAGAUGUACUAAAACUUAGUUUACAAACUUUUAUUUGUAAAUAUUGUUAUUUUUAAGUUUUCUGGAAUAUUUGAAAAUCAGGCAUGACUUAAAGUUGUUUUUCAAUUGGCUUACAUUUCAUUUUGUAUCAACCAAAGUCUUUUGUCAAAAAUUAACGACCUCGACUUACCUAGAAAAGUUGGGUCGUUACAUAUUACCUUUCUUCUAGAAGUAGCACCGUGUUCAGAAGAUCAACAAACAAAUUAAAACUUUGUGAAUGUAUCGAACUUUCUUCAAUGAUUUUGAAAAUAGAGAGAAAUAUUUUUUGGAGAAGGUAGAAGUAUAGAACACUAAAACCAAAUUUGCUUUUCAAAUUUAGAGAAAGAGCACUUAUUUAAAGACUUAUUCAUGGUUAUUGAAUAGUCUUGUCCUUUCUCUAGAUUAGUUAUUCUCAUGAAUGGAAGAAAGACACCGUUUAUUCCUACAGGUUAAUUGUGAUUUUUGAAAUGAUUAAAAUGCUAAUAUUCAUUUUGUUUUUCAUAUUCGUGAGUCUCAUAGUUUGAAUGGACCUUCCAAUGACACUGUGCAUUUAUAGAGACCAACUAAAUAAACGGUGGAUGGUUAGAAAGAAUUAUCUUAAUACUAUAUUAAAGAAAUUAUUUUUUACUUCAAAAUAUUUAUAUAUAAGGAUUCAAAAAAGUAUGUACUUUUUUAAUGAGUUAUUGGGAUAAAAGGAUUAGAUAGAGAUGGUUGAAUCAAAUUUUGACAUACGAAUAUAUUAAGAACUUGUAGAGUAAUCAACACAAAGAAUUAUAUGGUUCACUGACCGUAAAUUGGCUACGUCUAACCUAUUUGAGAUUAAAUAAACAUAUAAUAAUUUUAAAUAAUAAUUAGCAAUUUCUCACGUGUGUAUAUAUACGUUAGCAUCACAUAUAAUCAUAUUAAAUGUUUAAAACAAAAUGUUCACAACUUUUUUUAGUUGCAAGGUUAAAGCAUAUAUUCUUAAAAAAAGUAAUGGUAAAAUUCUACAAAAAAAAAAAAAAAAGUUUAUUCACUUAUUCGUAUUUUUAUGGAUUAUAGAUUUUUUUUACAUAAGUUGCACGUGGAUGUAUGUUAUCUUUAAAAAUUAAUUUAUAGUAGUAUUUGACUAAUAAUUAUAUUUUUGUAUUUUUAUAAAAUUUCUAUACAAUUUCAUAAUUGAUUAAGAGUGAGUUAGCUCUCAACCUAUUUUAUUUUAGAAUUAAUAAUAAUUAAUAGUAGAGAUGUUUUAAAAUUAAUUUCUAUAAAAUAGCAAAUACAACCUUUUAUGUUCAUAAAAUAGCAAAAACUCUUUCACUUUUAUUUAUUUAGUUAAUCUCUUUAUUUCAAGUUUAGUUAGGAAUGAAAAAUGUGAUAAUAUUUAAUUUACCUUUUCAAAAAAUUAAUAUUAUAUUUUUAAAUUAUAGAAUACUUUUGAAUUAUAUUAUAUUAUUGACGAUUGUUGAAAGAAAUAGAAGUUAUAAAGAAAAAGAGAGUCGAAUAGUAUACACAAACACGAUAUCAAUUACUAUUGAAGAAUUGAUGUAGAAAAUAUUCAUAUAUAUAAUGUUAGUUUUUUAGGAGAUUAAAUAGUUAAUUUAUUGUCUUUUACUAAUCGAGUUUGAAUGUUUGUACAAAUAUCUAUGAGACGUUCAUAGUAACUAUGGAAUAUAAAUGUCAUAUAAUAUUUUUAAACUAAAGAUUUGAAAAUAAGUAUCUAAAAUUAUUGAUUUGAAUUUAGUUUCAUCAUAUUUGAAUUUCCAAUUCUUUUGGGUUUGUGCUUAUUUUUAAAUGUUAAAUAUUUAUCAUUUAAAAUAAUAUUAAAUUUAAAUUUAAAAAAACAUUCUCCGAAUAAAAUGUUAGAAAUUUUAGAGUGUUGGUAUAGAAAAGCACGACAAAGAGAUAUACUAAUUUAAUAUAAAAAACAUAUUGAAAAAUAAUUUUUUAUGUCAUUUUUACUUUCUCAUUUCUGUUAGAAGAAAAAACAUAAAAGUAUAAUAAAAAAUAAUGUGCAGAAAAAAAAACUCGUAUAUAUAACUAAAAAAACAACUAAAGAAAUAUAAAAGAUAAUAUUUACAAAGAAAUGAAAGAAGAUAUUUGUAUAACGAGGUUGAAGAAAUAAUUUUUGUUUUCUUGCAUUUUUGUCUCCACCUAAUUGAUACGUAAUUUUUAAUAUUCACUAUUUAUCUUACACUUAUCUCUCAACUUAACAAUUGCACUUAUCUCUACUUGACAAUGACUCGUUGUUUCAAGGAAAUAGGAGAUAUCAUACAUUUAUAUUGAAUAAAUUGGUAAAAAAUGUGGAUUAGAGAAUUUUAAGAGGCUUUCUUGAACUUGUUAUUGUGCCCAAAAAAACUCUUCUACUACCCAUCGAGUUAAUUAGGGUGAUAAAUAUUUUUUUAAUUAAAUAUUGAAAUUGUUAGAAAAAUGGCAAGAAAUAGUUAAAAUUAACUCACUGUUCAUGCAGUAAAAACAUUUAUAGUCAAAAUGUUAAAUUGAACUAAAAAAAUUUCUCCACACAAUAGAGAUUUUAUGUAUACUAUAUAUAGAUUAAAAAUAGAUUCCAAUGUUUGAAUCCCCUAUAAGUGCAUUCAUCAAAUGUUAUAAUAUUUUUAUUAACUUAUUUAAUUGUAAAUUCUACGGACGAUAUACCAUUUAACUAGAAUAAAUUUACCAACGAUAGAUCAUGCAACACGUAUGAUGUAGAAAUCUACAAGUGAUAUAGUCUACCAUAUACUAAUUUUAUUAUAUUUACAAUUAUUUAUAAAUGUUGCUAACUUAAUUACUAUCCAAACUACGAAAUUAAUGUUUCGUCUAAAUACAUAAAACUAAUUGCAUAAAUGACAUUUAAGUAUAAAAUAGUAGUAUAGAUAGCACGAUGAUAAAAUAAUUAUAUAUAACCCAAAAUUAGUAAAAUACUAAAUAAUUCACGUGUAGGCACCAUUUUGGACACUUCUUUUCGAAUUUCUCAAAUUAAAAGCCUACAACUGAUAAUUGUUAUCAAUUACUAUUAUUGAUAGUUACUAUUAGUGUUAUCUUUUAUUUGUCAUUAUUAAUAGUGCUUCUUUUUUAUUUUCUCAAAUUGAAAGUCGUUAAUAAUAACAAUUGAUAAUUAUUAUAAGUUUUCUACCAUUGACGUUGAUUGUGAUAACUUCUAAACCCUAAACCCUAAACCCUAAACCCUAAACCCUAAACCCAAAGCCCUAUCAAUAAUAUCUAUGAAAAGACAUUGUUGACAUUUUAAAAAACUUCUACCAAUUGGUUGAUCAACAUUUACUAUUUUUGGCAUAAUAUUUUAUAUUUUAGAGUUUAUUUCUAAAUCCUUUUAUUUGCUCUAAUUUUAAAAAAAGAAAAAAGAAAAAUUAAAAGUUUAUUUUGGAUCAAUAACAAAAAUUAAUUUAAAUUGAUAAAAUAUCAAAAUCGAAAAAUAUGGGAAAAUUGUAUUUCAACGAACAUAAGCACAAUUUUUUUACUUAUACCCAAGCAAAUCCAAUAAUAACAGGUAAUACUUGUAAGAAUUAACGAUUUAAUAACAAAAUCCAGUACUUAAAAAUAAUUACUAAGAACUAAGGAAAAUGCUAAAAUGAGAACUUAAUGUUGUAUGUAAUACAAGAAUUACAAUUAUGACCACUUUGAUAACAUCUGCCGUAACAAAUAGUAUAAUUUUUUGUCUUAAAGGCACCCCAAGUGUUUUAACCUGAGGUGGAAUGAGUUCAUUGUUGCCACAUUGAUACAUAUUUAUAAUUUGGUAUACACUACCAAUGAGACGUGUUCCCUUCAUGUACAAGUUUAUCAAGUUUGAAACAUAGUAGAACUUAUCAGUGUACGUGUGCAAAUGAAGAUUCCUUGUAGACAAUGCAAUACAUGCAUGUGAACAAGAGAUCAUAUCAAAGUCUCAUUGAUGACACAAGCAUGUACGGUAUACAAUAUUGACAACAUAUUGUUCCUUACGAUGGUGAACUUCAAAUUCAUGUUGGUUUACAUAAUAUAUUUGCCAAAAUAUUAAAACAAAUUUCAUGUACAAAUAACUGUCUUAAUAGUUAUAAUAUUUACUAUUCAAAUAUCAAUCAACUUACAUUCAUUGAGAGAUUUUCCCCUGCAACUUCUCGAAUCAUAUCUUUUGCAUAUAUUGAGAGUUUUGUGCAUGCAUUGAAAAUUUCAUUUGGUAAGACGUUCGUAUAACCAUUUUUGAACCAAACUACAAAUUGAUUCUAGAAGUCCAAUAAAUAGUUUUCUUCAGUAUUGAUUUACUUUUAAAUAUUAAUCUCACUUGAAUAGGUAUUCCAACAUACGAAUAUUCAAAAAAAAUUAACGUAAAUAAUCUCCGUAUCACGAUGCAAAUCUUGAGAUUUGGGUACUUCAUUGAUCAAAUACGUUGUAGUUCCAGCAUCACAAGUUGAUACAUAGUCAAUAACCACUGGUAAAUCAUUACCAGAAAAUUUUGACAAAACUAACACAAUUAAGUCAAGACACAUCCUUAUCCUCAACAAUCCGAAUAAGGUUCAAAUUGUUGCAAUCAUCCCAAUAAACGGUCAACCGAUGCAUGAAAAAAUCUGUAGGUGGAAAAAAUCUACCUUGGAUACAUUCUACAAAUCCUUGAAACGAAGAUGAAAAUGGAACAUAUACCUCAACAACAUGAUAAUCGAGAUAUUGAAAAGGUUUGAUCCAUCUACCAUCCAAAAUCGUCUUUACUUACUGUAAAGUCAUAACAAAAACUUGUUUGUUAUUAUUCUACUAUUAUAAUCGAAAACGAAUGCUAAAUGAUGUAUUAUAAAUAUUGUAAUUAAUCGACAAAAAAUGUUAAACAAAUAAGAUAAAUUUUAAAAUACAACACUUAAAAUAAUAAAAUCAAGUGACGUGAAUAAUAGUAUUUCAAAAUAUUAUAAAAACAUACAUAUUUUCGAAAUAUUUUUUAAAUAGAUAUAAUGACCAUCAAAAUAUACAUUCUAAAAUAAAAAAAAGAUAUUAAUUAACAUGGUCUCCAUAAUAAAUCAUACUCUAAAUUUUCGAAAUCUAAACUAAAAUAUAUCUUAUGUAUUUCCUUAACAAUAUAAUUCCAAAUUAUUAUUCAAAAUAUAUAUUAUGUAUUAUUUAAUUAUAAAUUACUGAAAUUGUUAAUAAAUAAUUCAUGUUAUACAAACUAAGAAUUUGGAAGAUAUAUUAAGAAAAAAUUGCUUCAAUCUCGUCCAUAAACAAAAUCUCACAUUUAGUUAUAAUUUCAAGAUUAUUUGUAAAAUACAUCCUAUUUUUCAAAUGCGUGAUAGGAAAAGGGAAGAUUAGUAUAUGCCCAUUAGGUACUAAAUUUUCUAAUUUACCAUGAUUUUACAACAAAAACACAAAUUGAUCAAAUUUUACACAAAUGUACUAAAUGAGCCACAAUAUUAUACAAAAAUAUGUCCAAUUUACAUAUAUGCCCAUUAGGUAGUUUUUUCACACAAUAUAUAUUGUAUUAAUAUAGAAAAUGGGAGGAAAUCGUGCAACAUUAAAAUAGGAAAGUUUUUUCACUUUUCAUAUUCAACUAAAUCGUUGCCCUUUCGGCAGUCAAGGAAGUGAUUCGAGUUUUUGGUUUUCGGUCGUGAAGUUGAAAUAAGCAAUUUCGACGGUGAAGAUUUUCUAAAACGGUCGACCAGUUCAUCUGUUUUCCGAUGGCCGAAAGAUACAAUGUUAGGUUGUAUAUAUUCUAUACACAGUUUGCAUUUGGUAUCUUACAUAGAUUAAAAAUUUCAGUCUGAAUAGGCAACAGAAUCAAAAAUGUGAUUUUGUAUGUGUUAUAUCCUAUUGAGGUAUCGGAUCGAAGAGAAGUUUUUUAGGAACGUCGCAUGGGGGUUUUCAUAUGGAUAUUGGGUAUAUCAAAAAUUUUCUUUGGGUAUAUGUUGAAUGUUCUAGUUGUUGAGCAAAUGCAAAAAGGUAAUUAGAACAUUCAACAUAUACCCAAAGAAAAUAUAAAUAAUAUAUUGUAUAUAUCAUAUAAAACAUCAACUAAAAGUAUUAUAUCUCACGGGUAAUAUAUAAAACUAAUAUAAAUGUAAAUAAGAUGUGGUAUAUAUAUAAUAAAUCACAUAUACAAACUAUUACAUAAUGCGAUAAUAUUAUAAAACUAGUAUAAUAAUAAACAAUAUGUGGUAUAUAUUUAUAAAAUCAGAUCAGAAUAACAUUAAAAUGGGGGGUAUAUUGUUAAUAUAUACGCAGAUGAUAUACACAUAAUGAACUAAUCAUGUAGUUUUGUUGUUUAACUAUUUAAUUGUAAAACCCCGAACUUUAAGGUAUUUUACUUUUAAAUUAAAUUGUAUUUUGUUUGAAAUUUUUUUUUAAAGAAAAGAAAUUAGGGGAGAAAAGGAUUGGAAAUGUUAUAAUAAUAAUAUAUAUUUAUUGUUAUUAUUAUAAUAUUAUUAUAAAAGAAAAAGAAAAAGAAAAUUCUCUCUCUCUCUCUCGCGUCUUUGCUCGGGUGUUGAGGGACGUCACCGGCCGUCGAUUGCCAUUAUUCUCCACUGUCUUGUUUUGUUUGGUCUCCGUCAUGCUGCCGGUGGAAGAUCCAAAUUCAUAUCCUUUUGGUUCGCGUGCCAGAUUUGUUAAGCCGACAUUCCUCCAUUCGUUGUAAGUUGGAGCCUGAUCUAUCACCAAUUUUAAUUAUUUAUGGGUUAUGGAUUGUGUGGUGUAUUUUUCUCGGGAAUGCAAUGUUAAAUUAAUAAUCGAUUGGUUCUAUGUGGGUUCUUGAAGGUGUCAUUGUGGACAGUGUUCGAGUUCUUGGAGUUUCGACAGGUUGUUUAGAGCUUAAUUCUCCAAUUUUGUUUGGGUAAGUUCAUGAAAACAAUGGAAUGAUUUGGAUGAGGGAAUGGCUUGGUGAAAGUAUUGAGUUUUUGUCGUUACGUGUAGGUUGGUUUCAUGGGAGAAAUUUAUAUUUAUGUGCAUGGAUUGAUGUGGACUUGUGGUUGAGUGUAUGUUGUGAUUGUCUGGUUAUGUGUGUGUAUAGACAUAAGGAUGAGGAAGCAACUAAAUUUCGUAGAUGUUGCUUAUUUGAAGUGUGGAUUUAACUAUUAGAUUGAUAGUUGUCUGGACUGAAUGUAUGAUGUACUGUUAUAGUUGUGUGUUUGUGAACAGAGGAGACGUCUUAAAUGUGCCCUUGUAGACUUAGGAGGAGGUGUGACUAUUUAGUUUGUUAAAUGAUGUACUGGUAUGUUUCAGACUGACCUUGGCUAAAUUAGUGUAUGACAACUGUUAGGGGUUGAAUAAGGGGUCUAUGUGAGGGAAUUUUUAUAACUGAAUUGUGAACAAUUAUCAAAAUGUUUAGAAUGGCUGAGGGGAAAAUUGUUAGCUUUUAUUGAGAUAUGUGUGUCUUGUAGGUGUCCUACGGGAUCACCAAUUUUUAUGCAUCCUUUGAGAGCAUUAGACUACUAAGUGUUUCUGCAGAACACUAUACUGAAAUGUACGUCCUUCGAGGCGUUAAACUGAAAUGUGUAUCACCCCUACGGGAUCACACGACUGUGACUGUACAUGGUUUUCCAAUAGGACGUUAACAAUUUAUUUUCCCCUAACGGGACCAGCAGUGGGUCCCUUACUAAGUAUUAUUAUACUCACCCCUUUAUGUUUAAUUUUUCAGGUAAAGGUAAUAAAGGUGGCAAACCGGCGAGAG